rnacentral:rRNA from 1 species
CGACGAAGCAAUUUAACGGAAGUUUUCGGAUGGAAGCUGGAUUGACUGAGUGGCGGACGGGUGAGUAACGCGUGGGUAACCUGCCUCACACUGGGGGACAACAGUUAGAAAUGACUGCUAAUACCGCAUAAGCGCACAGGACCGCAUGGUCCGGUGUGAAAAACUCCGGUGGUGUGAGAUGGACCCGCGUUUGAUUAGCUAGUUGGUGGGGUAACGGCCCACCAAGGCGACGAUCAAUAGCCGACCUGAGAGGGUGACCGGCCACAUUGGGACUGAGACACGGCCCAAACUCCUACGGGAGGCAGCAGUGGGGAAUAUUGCACAAUGGGGGAAACCCUGAUGCAGCGACGCCGCGUGAGUGAAGAAGUAUUUCGGUAUGUAAAGCUCUAUCAGCAGGGAAGAAAAUGACGGUACCUGACUAAGAAGCCCCGGCUAACUACGUGCCAGCAGCCGCGGUAAUACGUGGGGGGCAAGCGUUAUCCGGAUUUACUGGGUGUAAAGGGAGCGUAGACGGUAAAGCAAGUCUGAAGUGAAAACCCGGGGCUCAACCCCGGGACUGCUUUGGAAACUGUUUAACUAGAGUGCUGGAGAGGUAAGCGGAAUUCCUAGUGUAGCGGUGAAAUGCGUAGAUAUUAGGAGGAACACCAGUGGCGAAGGCGGCUUACUGGACAGUAACUGACGUUGAGGCUCGAAAGCGUGGGGAGCAAACAGGAUUAGAUACCCUGGUAGUCCACGCCGUANACGAUGAAUACUAGGUGUNGGGGGA